rnacentral:rRNA from 1 species
UACGGAGGAUGCAAGCGUUAUCCGGAAUUAUUGGGCGUAAAGCGUCCGCAGGUGGCACUUCAAGUCUGCUGUCAAAGACCGGGGCUUAACCCUGGAAAGGCAGUGGAAACUGAAGCGCUAGAGUGUGGCAGGGGUAGAGGGAAUUCCCGGUGUAGCGGUGAAAUGCGUAGGGAUCGGGAAGAACAUCGGUGGCGAAGGCAGCCCCCUGGGUCAAGAUUGACGCUCAUGCACGAAAGCGUGGGGAGCAAACAGG